rnacentral:lncRNA from 1 species
UUAGCAAUCCGAGUCUUUCGUUGCGCCAUAGGGCGGUGGCUGUUCUAUAAAUACACUUACAUGCCCCUCAAUGCUCACUUUGUUUCACAAAGCCUCCAUCUCAAGUCGAGAGGAGAGAAGAGCGCAAGCAAAUUCAGAUCUCAACUAAUCAAGUGAAAUUGACUCAAAAAUACGCUCCUAGAAACAUACUCAUCCAUAAAUAAAAAAACCAGUUUUAGAUUGUCAAAAAUCAAAUUUUCAAUCGUUUAAUUUUUUCUUCUAAACUGUUGUAAAGUUGAAACCUAGAUUCCGCCACCAUGGAUUUGCGCUUCCCCUUCUCGCCGGCGGAGGUUGCCAAAGUCCGUGUGGUCCAGUUCGGCAUAGUCAGCCCCGACGAAAUUGUAAAUUUCCCACACCUUGAUUCAAUUCUUUGAAUUAUCUAGGGUUUCUUUUGAGCGAAAUUGAUUUAGGCUUUUUCUUUCUUUCUAGUCAGCCCCGACGAAAUUGUAAAUUUUCCUCACCUUGAUUCAAUUCGGUAAAUUAUCUAGGGUUUCUUUUGAGCG